rnacentral:rRNA from 1 species
AUUGAACGCUGGCGGCAGGCCUAACACAUGCACGUCGAACGAGGGGCGGACGGGUGAGUAAUGUAUGGGAAACUGCCUGAUAGCGGGGGAUAACUACUGGAACGGGUGGCUAAUACCGCAUACCAUCAGAGGUGCCCAGAUGGGAUUAGAUGGUGGUUGGGGUAAAGGCUCACAAAGGCGCCGAUCCCUAGCUGGUCUGAGAGGAUGACCAGCCACACUGGAACUGAGACACGGUCCAGCCUCCUACGGUAGGCAGCAGUGGGGAAUAUUGCACAAUGGGAGCAAGCCUGAUGCAGCCAUGCCGCGUGGAUGAAGAAGGCCUUCGGGUUGUAAAGUACUUUCAGCGGGGAGGCGUUACCCGCAGAAGAAGCACCGGAUAACUCCGUGCCAGCAGCGGCGGUAAUAC